AUUGAACGCUGGCGGCAUGCUUUACACAUGCAAGUCGAACGGCAGCGCGGGCUUCGGCCUGGCGGCGAGUGGCGAACGGGUGAGUAAUGCAUCGGAACGUGCCCAGUAGUGGGGGAUAGCCCGGCGAAAGCCGGAUUAAUACCGCAUACGACCUGAGGGUGAAAGCGGGGGACCGAAAGGCCUCGCGCUAUUGGAGCGGCCGAUGUCGGAUUAGCUAGUUGGUGGGGUAAAGGCUUACCAAGGCGACGAUCCGUAGAUGGUCUGAGAGGACGACCAGCCACACGGGGAGUGAGCCACGGACCAGACUCCUACGGGAGGCAGCAGUGGGGAAUGUUGGACAAUGGGGGCAACCCUGAUACAGCCAUGCCGCGUGCGAGAAGAAGGCCUCCGGGUUGUAAAGCGGUUUUGUUCGGGAAGAAACCCUCUGGGCUAAUACCCCGGGGGGAUGACGGUACCGGAAGAAUAAGCACCGGCUAACUACGUG
rnacentral:rRNA from 1 species